CAUAUAUGUUCUUUCAUCUUUACUCUUUGAAAAAAAAUUUUUUUCAAUCAUUUUUAUCCAAUCAUCUCUGUACUAGUUGUUUACUAAAAUUAGAUAUGCCAACAAUUGUCAUGAAAGAUUUACUGAUAAAAAGUGCAAUUUCAAAGUAAAUAAAAAAAAAUCACAGUUAUCACAUAAUCAUCAGAGAUAUUUAAUUGAUUCAUGAUAACACUUGAGAACACAUUAGAAUCCAAUCAAUUAAAUUUUAUCACAUAACAAAUUGGAGGUCAACAAACGACUGAUAACUAAUCAUGAAGCAAAGUAAUCUCACUUAUUUUAACACCAUCUCACGUAAUGGAGUAAAUUUUCUAGACCUUAUCACAUUACUUAAAUGCGGUGUUGCCGCACAUUCAUGAUGCUUAGGUUCAACACAGAAAUCUGAAGUAGAAAGAGAAAGUUACAGAAAAAUAACUGGACAGAUAGUGUUUUGAAGCUAUAAAAGGUACGAUGAGCAAGAAUUACAAGAAGGUAAUUCAGGCAGUAGUAUUUAAAAUAGAAACAUUUAUUUAUGGGAUUAUUAUAAUAAAUUCAUUGGAAAUAUGCCAUAUAAACAAUG